UACGUAGGGUGCAAGCGUUGUCCGGAAUUAUUGGGCGUAAAGAGCUUGUAGGCGGUUUGUCGCGUCUGCUGUGAAAAUCCGGGGCUCAACCCCGGACUUGCAGUGGGUACGGGCAGACUAGAGUGUGGUAGGGGAGACUGGAAUUCCUGGUGUAGCGGUGAAAUGCGCAGAUAUCAGGAGGAACACCGGUGGCGAAGGCGGCCUGCUGGGCAGUUUUGCUGACACUGAGGCGCGACAGCGUGGGGGAGCAAACAGG
rnacentral:rRNA from 1 species